ACCGGAUGACGUCGUGAGACCAAAGAUUUACCGCCCUUCGAGGGGCCCACAUGAUAUUAGCUAGUUGGUGAGGUAAUGGUUCACCAAGGCUAAGAUGUCUAGCGGGUAUGAGAGUACGACCCGCGCCACUCGCACUGAGACACUGGCGAGACACCCACGGGUGGCUGCAGAAUCG
rnacentral:rRNA from 1 species